GACGAACGCUGGCGGUGUGCUUAACACAUGCAAGUCGAACGGUAAGGCCCUUUCGGUGGUACACGAGUGGCGAACGGGGGAGUAACACGUGAGUAACCUGCCCUCAUCUCUGGGAUAACAGUCGGAAACGGUUGCUAAUACUGGUUAUGAGCUUGCUAGUCAUCCUGUGGGUUGGAAAGAUUUUUUUUGGUUAGGGAUGGACUCGCGGCCUAUCAGCUUGUUGGUGGGAUAGUGGCUCACCAAGGCUUUGACGGGUAGCCGGCCUGUGAGAGCGACCGCCAGAUUGGGACUCAGAUGCGGGCCAAAAUCCGGCAGGAGGCAGCAGUGGGGAAUAUUGCACAAUGGAAGGGAGUCUGAUGCAACAACGCCGCGUGCGGGAUGAAGGCCUUCGGGUUGGAAACAGCUUACAAGUGUGACGAAGCGUUUUUGUGACGGUAGCAGUAGAAGAGGCACCGGCUAACUACGUG
rnacentral:rRNA from 1 species